CCCUUAGAUGUUCUGGGCCGCACGCGUAUUACAAUGGCGUCGUAUUGGCAACAAAACUCCUGUAAAAGGGAGUGGUAUCCCAUUAAUUGACGUCAAACUUGGGAUUGGCUAUUGGAAUUAUUGGCCUUGAACGAGGAAUUCCUUGUAAUUGCCACUCAUCAGUUUGCGAUGAAUAUGUCCCUGCCCUUUGUACACACCGCCCGUCGCACCUACCGAUUGAAUGGUCCGGUGAAAUCUCGGGACGGCGGCUUGGUCGCUUGCGUCCGACUGCUGAAACUUGAUUAAACCAUAUCAUUUAGAGGAAGGUGAANUCGUAACA
rnacentral:rRNA from 1 species